GAACAAAACAAGAUGCAAUAAGAGAAGAGGAGCUACUAGCAGUGGGAGUAAGAACCAGUCCAGCAAGUACCUGGAAUUCCUGGAAUGCUUCUCCAUCCAAAGGAGGGCUUCAUAGAACUGUAAACUCUAGCCAGUGAUUUUCAUUUACUCUGAAAACUAAUUCCCACUCCCCAAAGUCCAUAUAUAUCCCUGGUUUACCCCAAAUAAGUGUACACAUACAAGCCCACC
rnacentral:lncRNA from 1 species